rnacentral:lncRNA from 1 species
CAGUGAUUAUUUCACAUCCAGCUCUGGUGCUUGCUCUGCUGUCUGUCACCAUCUGAGAGUGACACUGAAUCACCCCAGAUGAUGCAACAGCAACGACAAAGAUGUGACUUUUCUGAAGUUCCAUAAGCAUCUUGAAGUAUUCAGCAGAAAAUAUUCAGAUGAUAAAACAAGCUGAAAUAACAUCACAGCCGAAGUUUUGUGGAGAUUUUGAUGAUACAAGUGAAAGGCACCUUGUCCAUGCACCAGGGCAGCUCACGGUGCUUUGCUGGGAACUGCAGACAGAGGCAGAUUGUACAAUGCUGGACAGCUUCCAAGGCAUUUCC